UACGUAGGGGGCAAGCGUUGUCCGGAUUUAUUGGGCGUAAAGAGCGUGUAGGCGGCUUGGUAGGUCAGCUGUGAAAACUCGAGGCUCAACCUCGAGACGUCGGUUGAAACCACCUGGCUAGAGUCCGGAAGAGGAGAGUGGAAUUCCCGGUGUAGCGGUGAAAUGCGCAGAUAUCGGGAAGAACACCCGUGGCGAAGGCGGCUCUCUGGGACGGUACUGACGCUGAGACGCGAAAGCGUGGGGAGCGAACAGG
rnacentral:rRNA from 1 species